UUACAACAAAACCAAAAGUUUUUACCUAGAGGAAGACCCUUCUUUUAAAAUAAAAACCGAACAGAGAAUGUAUUGCUUAGUUUGCUGCCCAAUGAGGGACUGAGAUGUUGGAUCAACCAGAAGAGAAGUUGCUUUCUGGAGGGCUAAGAAAAUUGAGCUGCACAACUAUGUGAUUGUUUUCUCAUACCUACCUACACCAUUCUCUACAGCCAUUACUUCAGUGCAAUUCCGGCACAAGAAGAAGUGGAUGAUGGAGAUAUAACUGAUGAUGUGGUGCCAAAUGAGGGUUGGUCGAUGCCAAGCUCCAGUCAGCGUGCAGCAAAGAUCCAGUGUGACUUUGCAUUUAAGAUUUUACAUCGCACUGGAUGUGCAAUCAGAACGAUAUUGGAUGAGAAAACCUAUCAUCAUGAGGAGGGUCUCAACUG